rnacentral:lncRNA from 1 species
UGUCAGAGGUUUACUUCUUCAAAGAUUGAGGUCUUAUUCUUCUCUGCUUUCCAAGAGGCUCAAUUGACUGGCACCAUCUGGGAAGCUGGUCUUUCUUCUAAUGGAAUUCCAUUCUUUCUUUCAGCCAGGUGCAGCUUGGAUGACCUGGUGUACACAGAGGCAGGUGGUGUGCCGUGCUCUGGAGUGAGAACAGGUGAUAGAGCAGUCAGAACCUCUGCAGUGAUUCAGAGAAGUAUGCUCAACCUUUACAUCAUCAUUCAAUUGAUCCCCAAGUAUUUGCUGCUACCACCACAAGAGCUAAGAGGGUUCAUAAGCCCAAUGCCACACAGCAAUAAAUAGAAACUCUGAAAUUCAAGCCUGGAGUCUGUCUGAUUUCAGCACUGUUGACUUGAAUACU